GUGAACGCUGGCGGCAGGCCUCACACCUGCAAGUCGCGCGGCAGCGGGUCCUUCGGGAUGCCGGCGAGCGGCGGACGGGUGAGGAAUACAUCGGAAUCUGCCCUGUCGUGGGGGAUAACCUAGGGAAACUUAGGCUAAUACCGCAUACGACCUACGGGUGAAAGCGGGGGAUCGCAAGACCUCGCGCGACAGGAUGAGCCGAUGUCCGAUUAGCUAGUUGGCGGGGUAAAGGCCCACCAAGGCGACGAUCGGUAGCUGGUCUGAGAGGAUGAUCAGCCACACUGGGACUGAGACACGGCCCAGACUCCUACGGGAGGCAGCAGUGGGGAAUAUUGGACAAUGGGCGCAAGCCUGAUCCAGCCAUGCCGCGUGGGUGAAGAAGGCCUUCGGGUUGUAAAGCCCUUUUGUCCGGGAAGAAAUCGUCUGGGCUAAUACCCCGGGCGGAUGACGGUACCGGAAGAAUAAGCACCGGCUAACUUCGUG
rnacentral:rRNA from 1 species